GCGGAAGCGGAAGUCGACGUCACACACCACCUGGCGCACCUGUCAGCCACAGCAUUUUUGCUACGGAGCCACUGCGUGGAAGGGUCCUCGUAUUUUUGACCGUUUUUGUGAACUUACCAUUGGCCUGUGGAGAACUGGGACGGACAGAGAAACUCACCAGGAGGACUUGGAGUUGGACUGCGCGGUACAAACAGACUUGACCGCUGCCGGCAAGACGCCCACAAGCCUGAAUAGCUUAAAGUGAGAAUUGCAGGUGAUUGUCACGUGGGGGUCGAAUCUUACUGCGGGGUCGCUCUUCCAAGAUGCAGAACGGACAACUCCGGACGAAAGCGUGAAGGGGCACCUACACUUUGAGGGGAAAUAGAAGAUGAGGUUCCUACCUGAGGUCAGAGAGGAGAAAAGGAUGGAGGUGCGCCUCAGAAGGGAAGAAAAAGAACAACCCCCCCACCCCCUGACGUUUUCGCCUGGUCUGGAGAUGCUUUGAGGCUGCCGGUCGCUCUCAGCAGCACUCACAAGAAGAGACGGCCAAUUAACAAUCAGGAGAGGGGGGAUGCUCGCCGGCUGAUUGGCUCAGGCUGCCAUCCGAACAUCCUGGGAGCCGAAACACCCACCCUGCCUUGCAUUCACACACAUUUGUGCGAGCAAAGCAUCCCUUGAUGUGGAAUGUAGAGCAGCCGUGACAGCAGGGAGGACUUGGCUGCAAACAUGAACACGGAGAGAGAUGCGUUUAAAACUAAAAGGAGGCCAUCAAAUGUUAACACACUUUCAUGCAUGAGGGAACAUAUAGGCCAACAUUAAAGGGGGGGGAGUCAAAUUAAAUGUAAAUCACAUGCACAUAAAGAAUGUGACAUACCUGCCUGGACAUGAUCAAACAAGCUUUCCUCAUUGGUGAACACUUUAAAGGCUAAAAAAAUAAUUAGGAGCAAAAAAAAAAGGCAUCAAUUUAGCAUGGACACACAUUGUUGAUGUAUUCUGCCAUCUGGCGUUGAAAAUGAGUAAUGGCAGUUUAAAUCAAACAAAAAUGGCUAAUUAAUUAGAAUCAAUUAAAGACAUUUAAGCUGUAACUCAUUAGAAAAAUUCCAUUAAACCCAAAUGCAUGUCAGUUAAACUGCAUGUUUGUAAAAGACCACAAUGUAUGCCGCUGGGCAUCCCCCAUUUAGAGUGAUGUGAUUGGAUGAUUAGUAAACAAUGUAUUACAGUUUAGUGAGUGCCAUGUCAUAUCUGUAAGUUGGAGUAUUUCUUUUGGCUGCUAGGAUAAUGCAUAGCAAAUAAUGAUGGAAAUAAUUUACCUUUUUUGUCAUCUGGAUGAAAUGUACCAUUUACCAUAAAUGGGUAAAUACAUGGGUUGUACUUGUAUAGCGCUUUUCUACCUUCGAGGUACUCAAAGCGCUUUGACAUUACUUCCACAUUUACCCAUUCACACACACAUUCACACACUGAUGGAGGGAGCUGCCAUGCAAGGCGCUAACCAGCACCCAUCAGGAGCAAGGGUCAAGUGUCUUGAUCAAGGACACAACGGACGUGACGAGGUUGGUACUAGGUGGGGAUUUGAACCAGGGACCCACUGGUUGUUCACGGCCACUACGCCGUCCCCCAUGAAUUGAUUAACAUUUACACUGACUUUGACUGCCUGGUGAUUUUAUUUUUCAUAUUGAUGAUUUGAAUGACAAGGGCGCAAAAUAACUUUUUACUAUUUUAGACACAUUUGAACUGUCUCAACAUGUGAAAGAGGCUACUCAUUGUAAGGGAUACACUCUGUACCUGAUUAUCACAAAAGGUCUCAAUGUUUCUGA